AAUCAACGCUGGCGGCGCGCCUAACACAUGCAAGUCGAACGAGAAAGCCCGCAAGGGUGAGUACAGUGGCGUACGGGUGAGUAACACGUGGAUAAUCUACCUUUUAGUGGGGAAUACCGUUGGGAAACCGACGACAAUACCGCAUAAUCUCGAGAGAGGAAAGACCGAAAGGACGCUGAAAGAGGAGUCCGCGGCUGAUUAGCUAGUUGGUGAGGUAAUGGCUCACCAAGGCUUAGAUCAGUAGCCGGCCUGAGAGGGCACACGGCCACACUGGCACUGAAACACGGGCCAGACUCCUACGGGAGGCAGCAGUGGGGAAUCUUGCACAAU
rnacentral:rRNA from 1 species